CCUAAUUUUUUUCUCAUUCUAGGAAAUUCGAAGGAGGAAAAGAGCAAUGUCAAGUCUUCCUGAAGAGAUCUACCUUGAGAUUCUUCUGAGAUUACCAGUGAAAUUCACAUACAUAUGUAAGUGUGUUAGCAAGUCUUGGUUUAAACUUACCUCUGAUGUUAAUUUUGCCAAAAUGCAUCUUAAUCUCUCUAUUCAGAAGAACAAUUGUGAUCUGAUGCUUGUAAAAUUGAGGGAAUUAGGAAAUGAUAGAAUCUACACCAUAGGUCAUGAUUCAUUAGAGUCAUUAUUAUCAGAUGAAUUUUACACUUAUGCCUUGAAAAGGAAUUACCCAUGGGAAGGUUUUUUUGUCAAUGACAUUAACUUAUUGGGAUCUUGUAAUGGUCUGGUUUUUCUAUGGUUGGUUGAUUAUGGGUUUUAUUGUCUUUGGAACCCAGCCUCUACAGAGUACAAAAUAAUCCCUGAACCGUCUGAUAUAUAUGAUCUGGCUAAUUUCUGUAUUACUGCAUUUGGUUACGAUUGCAAGAAUGAUGAUUACAAGUUUGUAGGCGGUGAAGACGACUGCUAUUAUCAAAGUGAUUAUAAAUCAGUAGUUCAAUUUUAUACUUUAAGUUCGAAUUCGUGGAAAAGCAGUCGAACCAUCCCAUAUAGGUUUCAUGCUGACCAAGGAGUUCGUGGGGCUCUUGUGCAUGGACAUUAUCAUUGGUUAGCACGAGUGCAAGGCGAUUCGGAAGUUUUAGUAUCAUUGGAUAUUAGUGAAGAGGUAUUUGUGGAAUUGGAACUACCAAAAGAAUUUUUGAAUAAUAAGCAUUUGUGUAUGAGUGUGGGGGUGUUGGAAGGAUGCCUUUGUGUGCUUGUUGAUGUUAUGAAUGCUCAGUUUGAAUUAUGGGAAAUGCAGAAUUAUGGAGUUUGAGAAUCUUGGACUAGACGUUGUGUCAUCAUCCAUGAAAGAAUUCUGAAAAACAUACCGGUGAGGUUUAUUUGUUCUUUGAAGAAUGGUAAUAUGCUAUUUUAUGGGUGUGGUGAUCUACUUUUGUACGACCUUAAGAACAGAAGUCUUAUAGAACGGAAAAUUCCUAGGUCAGAUUACCAAGAAGCAUACCACUUUGAAAGCCUCGUUUCCCUUGACUCUGGGACUUAUGCAGGGAGCAGGAAGGAUAAAUUGAAGCAUCAAUAGAAUGUUGAAGGCAACAGACCAGGAUGGAUGAACUAAUCUCUCUUCUUCAUUUCGAGAACUGCCGAAGAUGGAUUCGCUAUUGUUUAAGGUCCACUAAGAACUCUGCAGGGUUCAUUGCAAUGAGAGGAGUGCACCCAAUGGAUGAGAAAUAGACCAUUGCUUCCGAUGCAUUGCCGAAGUACAACAGGCUUCCUUUCCCCAAAAGGAUCAACUUGUCAAACUUAUGGAAAAGUCUGCUCGAUGGCUGAUGGAUAGUCGUCACCACUGUUUUCCCAGCCUGUUAGAAGAUUUCGAAGAUAACUUAAGCUUUUUCUGAAACCCUUCAAUGGCUGUCGUUGAAUCCAAACCUGAUGUCGGCUCAUCAAGGAACAGAAGAGAAGGGUUGAGCAAAAUCUCAUUGCCUAUACACACUCUUUUCCUCUCGCCACCUGAAAUUCCUCGCACGAAUGUACCUCCGAUCAUUGUGUCUUGACACCUAUAUGCACCGUUUUACAGUGAUUAUUAGAGACGAAUGCACAGUCCAGAAUGCAUAUGCUUGGGCAUCGUUGAUGAAACUUUACCUUGAGAUAUAUUGGUAAGGUUAGCAAUUUCUUCAGGUGGCACCGUGAAGCCAGCAGAAGAAAAGAAGCCAAAGCUAGCGCUGGAUGCUCUGCUCAGGGCUCCCCCGCUGCUCACUUCAUCAAGCUGUCCACUCCUUGAAUGCUUCC